rnacentral:rRNA from 1 species
AUUGAACGCUGGCGGCAUGCUUUACACAUGCAAGUCGAACGGUAGCACGGGGGCAACCCUGGUGGCGAGUGGCGAACGGGUGAGUAAUGCAUCGGAACAUGCCCAGUCGUGGGGGAUAACGUAGCGAAAGUUACGCUAAUACCGCAUACGUCCUGAGGGAGAAAGCGGGGGAUCGCAAGACCUCGCGCGAUUGGAGUGGCCGAUGUCAGAUUAGCUAGUUGGUGGGGUAAAGGCCCACCAAGGCGACGAUCUGUAGCGGGUCUGAGAGGAUGAUCCGCCAGACUGGGACUGAGACACGGCCCAGACUCCUACGGGAGGCAGCAGUGGGGAAUUUUGGACAAUGGGGGCAACCCUGAUCCAGCCAUGCCGCGUGCGGGAAGAAGGCCUUCGGGUUGUAAACCGCUUUCAGCCGGAAAGAAAUCGCUAUUCCUAAUACGAGUGGUGGAUGACGGUACCGGAAGAAGAAGCACCGGCUAACUACGUGCCAGCCGCCGCCGUAAAAC